rnacentral:sRNA from 1 species
GCUGAAUCGCCGGCGGCAGUACGGGAGACAUCUGCAUUCGCUUCAGAUGUUUUCGCUGCGGCUGCCGAUGCGGCUGCCGCCGUUCUGGCUGUGUCAGCCGACGCCGCGCUGGCUGAUGCCUCCCCGGCUUUUGUGGUCGCCGUACCUGCGCUGCUCUCCGCAGAUGCUGCGGAUGAGGCUGC